CCGCAAAUUGACACCGUAACUUCGGGAGGAGGUGUGCCGCUGGCGGUUAGUGACUUCGCGUCACGAAGCUGUCGGAGGUCGCAGUGAAAUGGCGGUUGUGACUGUUUACUAAAAACACGGGACUCUGCGAAGUCGUAAGACGACGUAUAGGGUCUGAUGCCUGCCCGGUGCUGGAAGGUUAAGGGGAUAUGUCAGCGCAAGCGAAGUAUUGAACCGAAGCCCCAGUAAACGGCGGCCGUAACUAUAACGGUCCUAAGGUAGCGAAAUUCCUUGUCGGGUAAGUUCCGACCUGCACGAGGGCAUAACAACAUCCGCACUGUCUCGACCAGGGACUCAGCGAAAUUACAUUGGGGGUGAAGAUGCCCUCUACCCGCGGAAAGACGGAAAGACCCCAUGAACCUUUACUGCAACUUGGCAGUGAUUUUCGGGUUGUUCUGCGUAGGAUAGGUGGGAGGCUUUGAAGCCGGGCUUCCGGGUUCGGCAGAGCCAACGUUGAAAUACCACCCUGAAUAAUCUGGAAAUCUAACCUGCGCCCAUGAUCUGGGCGAGGGACACUGCCUGGUGGGCAGUUUGACUGGGGCGGUCGCCUCCUAAAUUGUAACGGAGGCGUGCGACGGUUCCCUCAGGCUGAUUGGAAACCAGCCGUAGAGUGCAAACGCAUAAGGGAGCUUUACUGCGAGACUGACAAGUCGAACAGUUGCGAAAGCAGGUGUUAGUGAUCCGGUGGUACCACAUGGAAGGGCCAUCGCUCAUCGGAUAAAAGGUACUCUGGGGAUAACAGGCUGAUCGCGCCUGAGAGUUCACAUCGGCGGCGCGGUUUGGCACCUCGAUGUCGGCUCAUCGCAUCCUGGGGCUGGAGCAGGUCCCAAGGGUUUGGCUGUUCGCCAAUUAAAGCGGUACGCGAGCUGGGUUUAAAACGUCGUGAGACAGUUUGGUCCCUAUCUUCCGUGGGCGCAGGACACUUGAGAGGAGCUAUCCAUAGUACGAGAGGACCUGGAUGGACGAACCUCUGGUGCUCCGGUUGUCACGCCAGUGGCAUAGCCGGGUAGCCAUGUUCGGAACAGAUAACCGCUGAAGGCAUAUAAGCGGGAAGCUGGCCUCAAGACUAGGUGUCCCUGACGCAAGUCACUAAAGGCCCCUCGAAGACUACGAGGUUGAUAGGCUCGGUGUGGAAGCGCUGCGAGGCGUGGAGCUAACGAGUACUAAUAGGCCGUGCGACUUGACCU
rnacentral:rRNA from 1 species